rnacentral:rRNA from 1 species
UACGGAGGGGGCUAGCGUUGUUCGGAAUUACUGGGCGUAAAGCGCGCGUAGGCGGCUUUGUAAGUUAGAGGUGAAAGCCCGGAGCUCAACUCCGGGACUGCCUUUAAGACUGCAUCGCUAGAAUCAUGGAGAGGUGAGUGGAAUUCCGAGUGUAGAGGUGAAAUUCGUAGAUAUUCGGAAGGACACCAGUGGCGAAGGCGACUCACUGGACAUGUAUUGACGCUGAUGUGCGAAAGCGUGGGGAGCAAACAGG